CCUACGGGAGGCAGCAGUGGGGAAUAUUGCGCAAUGGGCGAAAGCCUGACGCAGCGACGCCGCGUGAGGGAUGAAGGUCUUCGGAUCGUAAACCUCUGUCAGCAGGGAAGAACGGUCACUGUGCUAAUCAGCAGUGAAUUGACGGUACCUGCAAAGGAAGCACCGGCUAACUCCGUGCCAGCAGCCGCGGUAAUACGGAGGGUGCGAGCGUUAAUCGGAAUUACUGGGCGUAAAGCGCUCGUAGGCGGUAUGUCAAGUCAAGGGUGAAAUCCCCGCGCUCAAGGUGGGAACUGCCGUUGAAACUGGCAAACUGGAGUGUGUGAGAGGAUAGUGGAAUUCCAGGUGGAGGAGUGAAAGCCGUAGAUAUCUGGAGGAACAUCAGUGGCGAAGGCGACUAUCUGGCACAUAACUGACGCUGAGGAGCGAAAGCGUGGGUAGCAAACAGGAUUAGAUACCCGAGUAGUC
rnacentral:rRNA from 1 species